rnacentral:lncRNA from 1 species
GAAAUGACAGACAGCUAUCUCUUCUCUAGGGCUUCAGAAUCCCACUGAAGAGCUGCUUCAGCCAGGGACCUUGAGUUCCCAGGGGUAAGGAAGCAGAGCAUCGAGGGAAGCAGGGAGAAAAAGGAAGGGAGAAAUUCCAGUAAAGUACCCAUGCAAGCCACCAAGAUUCCGGGCGAGGUGUCAGAGCCCUAGUAAUGAAAAGUGGUUGACUUACGGGUAGUGAGAAUUUACUGACAACAGCAUUGGUUUGAAAAGGAAAGUUUUGUUAGAAAGAACGCUGCAGAAGAGUGCAGUGGGGCACCUCAGCAAGGGAGGACUGAAUGCACCAUGGUCAGUUUUUCCUUAGGGGCAUUUAUGAAUCUUAAGAGCUUAAGGAUAGUUUGGACCAUAUUAGCCAUGUAGGUCAUGAUAAAUGAUUACAUUUGUAGACAUUUUUGUGCCUUAAUGUCCCUGUUCUAGAAAUGGUCAAUUACAAAGCACAACAUAAGACUGGAACAUUGGAGUUAAGUAGCAGAGAUCAAAACAAAAGCAUUCCCAGAAGCACGGAGAAGUGAGGAGAAAAGGCAAUGCACCUGGAGCUGGAGACCAAGACCCCGUUCUUACUGAUGGCCCUUGGAGCAGAUAUUUGAAUUGGAGAGAUAAAACCGUGGUUUUUGGGGUGUUAAUUUUGGUGGCUGAUGCAUUCUGUGAUUGAUUUGGCUAUUACAACUGGUAUUGAUUUUAAACACAUUAAUUGCAAAAUCUCAAUUGUGAUUUGAUUUCUGUAUUUACAAUACUAAAAACGAGGCUUUCGCCAGGAGAAGACAAUUGGCAGUACUCAGUUGGAAGUGCUUAAUUGUUAAUAUAUAUCAGCCGUGGUUCUUCAGCGUCGUCAGUGUUGCUCAGUCUUGCUCUUUGUGGCGACUACUGAAUGCUUGAAAAAUUCUCUCCUAUACUCCCACUCUGCGCUGUAGAAGAGAAAGAGAGGAGAGUGGAAGAAAAAAGAGAGGGAGAGGAGAAAGAAAGAAAGGAGAGAGAAACAUGGGCAUGGAUGAUACAUAAGAUAAUUCCAGAAGAUUUCAGCAUAGCAGAUAAAAUACAGCAAAUCCUAACCAGCACAGGUUUGAGUGACAAACGGGCCGGUUCCAUGGGCACAGAUGACUUCAUCAGGGGCACAGAGUUGGUUGAUGAAUGGAGGGCUGGAGCUUGAGGCUGGAUGUGUACCCCAGAAGGGUCUCUAAGAUUCAAAACCUUUUCAUACCAAUGUCCCUAAUUCCUCCAUGUUAUUGGCAUUGGACUUGAUCUCUCUUCAUACAUAUUUUUGUAUACAUAAGGUGUGCAAGGGUGUGUGUGCAUGUGUGUGUGUGUGUGUGUCAGGGAUAGGGUCUCAGAGUGAAUGUAUUUGUUUUUUCUACUUUGACCUUGUACACAGUGACCUUUCUAAAUUUUUAUUUUAAUUGUUUUUCAAUUGUUUAUGUAGACAAUCAUGCUGUCUGAGUAGAGAUAUUCACAUCUUCCUUUAAAGCAUUUAUUCAUUUUAUUUACAUCUUCCUUUAAAACAUUUAUUCAUUUUAUUUAUUUCCCUUGCCUUAUUGUGCCAGCUAGAAUCUGCAGUAAAAUUUGGAAUUGCACGUGGUGAUAAUGGACACCCUUGUUUUAUCCUUGAGCUCAGGGAGAUAUGAUUCAAUACUUUACCAGGAGCAUAACGUCAGCUAUGGUUGUUUUGUAGCUAUUCAUCAUUAGCAUGAAAUGUUUCUUUGUAUUUCUUGCUUACUAAAAAUUUUUAUCAUGAAAAGAUAGGGAAUUU